UUACGGCCAUAGCACUUUGAAAUGCCUGUUCUCGUAUGAUCACCAAUCUUAAGCAACGUCGAGUCUGGUCAGUAACCAAAUGGGUGACCACAUGGGAAUACCAUUGGCUGUAAG